rnacentral:rRNA from 1 species
GACGAACGCUGGCGGCGUGCUUAACACAUGCAAGUCGAACGGAAAGGCCCUGCUUUUGUGGGGUGCUCGAGUGGCGAACGGGUGAGUAACACGUGAGUAACCUGCCCUUGACUUUGGGAUAACUUCAGGAAACUGGGGCUAAUACCGGAUAGGAGCUCCUGCUGCAUGGUGGGGGUUGGAAAGUUUCGGCGGUUGGGGAUGGACUCGCGGCUUAUCAGCUUGUUGGUGGGGUAGUGGCUUACCAAGGCUUUGACGGGUAGCCGGCCUGAGAGGGUGACCGGCAACAUUGGGACUGAGAUACGGCCCAGACUCCUACGGGAGGCAGCAGUGUGGAAUAUUGCACAAUGGGCGGAAGCCUGAUGCAGCAACGCCGCGUGCGGGAUGACGGCCUUCGGGUUGUAAACCGCUUUCGCCUGUGACGAAGCGUGAGUGACGGUAAUGGGUAAAGAAGCACCGGCUAACUACGUG